rfam:Drosophila pseudoobscura pseudoobscura strain MV2-25 chromosome 4 unlocalized genomic scaffold Ch4_group3, whole genome shotgun sequence.
GGAAGUGUAUUCUGUGAUUGUUCUGUGCAUCGAUCGAUAGAUAGAUAGUCAUCUGUUUAUCAGAUCUGCUCAGUGCCGACCCUCCGUCACACCUUUGUUUCCCAGUAAUUCUGCCUGGCAUUGCUGUGGCAACAUUGUUCUGGAUUGGCUUUCCCGCUGCCUUUGCUAGCGACGACGGGUCGUUAGCAACAGACGCACGGUCAUGCGCUGGUCCUCCACCACCCACUCCGCCUCGCGGACUCCAGUCAUCUCCACGACUGGAGCACGCAUAGGAUGGGGCUCGGGCGGUGGUGCCGGUGCCGAAGCCAACAACAGUUGCCCACGUCAGCCAUUUUCAAAAUUUCUUGGUUAAGUAACUUUGUAGCUUAGCUUCGGAUUUUCGUAAUAUAUUUGCUGUUCAGAACACUUCCAUGUACGCGGCAUUGCCGAGCAAUUUGCCCAUUCUUUUG